rnacentral:rRNA from 1 species
AACGAACGCUGGCGGCAGGCUUAACACGUGCAAGUCGAGCGCCCCGCAAGGGGAGCGGCAGACGGGUGAGUAACGCGUGGGAAUCUACCCAUCUCUACGGAAUAACGCAUGGAAACGUGUGCUAAUACCGUAUACGUCCUUCGGGAGAAAGAUUUAUCGGAGAUGGAUGAGCCCGCGUUGGAUUAGCUAGUUGGUGGGGUAAAGGCCUACCAAGGCGACGAUCCAUAGCUGGUCUGAGAGGAUGAUCAGCCACACUGGGACUGAGACACGGCCCAGACCCCUACGGUAGGCAGCAGUGGGGAAUAUUGGACAAUGGGCGCAAGCCUGAUCCAGCCAUGCCGCGUGAGUGAUGAAGGCCCUAGGGUUGUAAAGCUCUUUCACCGGUGAAGAUAAUGACGGUAACCGGAGAAGAAGCCCCGGCUAACUUCGUGCCAGCCGCCGCCGUAACAC